UGUGGUGUGUGUGUGUGUAUGUGUGUGUGUGUGUGUGUCUGUGUGUGUGAUCCAAGACAGUGCCAGCCUGUGAGCAAUGGUUAAAAAUAGUCUUCUUCCCAUGACUCUCCCUUAGAGAGAUCUGUAGUUAGAUGUUAACAAAGGCCAUGCUUACAGUGACGAAUACCUGGGAACUAUUUCAGUGCAUAUGCAACUCCAAACUGCACAACCUCUUCACAUUUAAGAUCUAGUACAAGGCUGCUUCUGUCUGAAUAUGGGUCAUUGCCUCAGAAUCAAGGAUUGAAACUUAAUCCCCACAAGAUCUCAAGCAGUGGGAUGAGGUGGGACCAUGAGAGGUAACUCUGCCCUCUCCAGUGAAUUAAUUCAUCAUGCAAUUAGUGGAUUAAUGGUUAAUGGGUUACUUCUAGAGGUCUGCAAUAAAAGCCAGUGUGGCUUGUCCUUCCUUGCACUUCCUGUCUCUUCUUAGGAUCCGUGUGACAUCCCAUAUCACCUGCCAGCAUGAAGGUCAGCACCAGAUGGUCAAGGCCAUCACCUUGACCUUGGACCAGAGCAAUAGGAUGCAGAUAGCACGGAGGAAAUCCGUUCAACCACCUCUGAAGUUAGCAUUGAGUGUUCAAAUCUGAUUAUGUCAUUUGAAAUUAACCAAGAAAGCUUAGAAAUA